rnacentral:rRNA from 1 species
GGAAGUGAACCAUCUCAGUACCUGAAGGAAGAGAAAAUAAUAAUGAUUCUGGGAGUAGCGGCGAGCGAAACCGGACCAGCCUAAACCAGUGGGGCUUGCUCCAUUGGGGUCGUGGGACCAGAUACAACGGAUCGAGAAAAUUAGCGGAAAGGUGUGGAAAAGCCUACCAUAGGGCGUGAUAGUCGCGUAUGCGAAAAUUUUCAAAAUCUAUUCUGGCACCCGAGUAAUGCGGGACACGAGGAAUCUUGCAUGAAUUUGCCGGGACCAUCCGGUAAGGCUAAAUACUCUCUAGUGACCGAUAGUGAACCAGUACCGUGAGGGAAAGGUGAAAAGAACCCCGGUGAGGGGAGUGAAAUAGUACCUGAAACCGCAUGCUUACAAGCAGUCGGAGGUUCGAAAGGACUGACGGCGUGCCUUUUGCAUAAUGAGCCGGCUAGUAAAUGUCACAGGCAAGGUUAAAGGAUAACUGAGCCGAAGCGAAAGCGAGUCUUAAUAGGGCGUUUAGUCUGUGGUAUUUGGACGUGAAACGGGAUGAUCUAUGCAUGGGCAGGAUGAAGCGUGGGUAACACCUCGUGGAGGUCCGAACCAGUUAAGGUUGAAAACUUUUUGGAUGACCUGUGCCUAGGGGUGAAAGGCUAAUCAAAUUCCGUGAUAGCUCGUUCUCGCCGAAAUAUCUUUAGGGAUAGCCUCGGAUUUAUCAUUGUGGUGGUAGAGCACUGACUGGACUAGGGGCCUCACAAGGUUACCGAAUUCAAUCAAACUCCGAAUGCCAUAAAUGUCUGUCCGGGAGUCAGACCACGGGAGCUAAGUUUCGUGGUCGAGAGGGAAAGAGCCCAGAUCAACAGCUAAGGUCCCAAAGUGAUAGUUAAGUGGAAAAGGAAGUGGGGAAGCACUGACAGCCAGGAGGUUUGCUUAGAAGCAGCAAUCCUUUAAAGAAAGCGUAAUAGCUCACUGGUCAAGUAGCCCUGCACCGACAAUAUAACGGGGCUUAAACUAUCCACCGAAGCUUUGAAUGUAUUUAUACAUGGUAGGCGAGCAUUCUGUAGCUGUGAAGCGGUUCCGUAAGGUCCGUUGGAGCGAUCAGAAAAGACUUUGUCGGCAUUAGUAGCGAUAACGAAGGUGAGAACCCUUCGCACCGAAAACCUAAGGUUUCCUGCGUCAAGUUAAUCUGCGCAGGGUUAGUCUGUACCUAAGGCGAGGCCGAAAGGCGUAGUCGAUGGAAAUCCGGUUAAUAUUCCGGAACCAUGGGUAUGUGAUGUGGGUUGACGCAACAGGGUAGGCAAGACAGCUGAUGGAUGCUGUUGAAGUAAAUAGGCCGUCACUUAGGCAAAUCCGGGUGACACAAGGCUAAAUAUACGGACGAAAGUACAGGGCUUCGGCCCCGGAACAAGUUGCUGACCCCAGUUGCCGAGAAAAUUCCCGUUCAUCUAUACAUACUCCACUGGCAGUACCGCAAACCGACACAGGUAGGUGGGAUGAGAAUUUUAAGGUGCUUGUGAGAACCCUCGUUCAGGAACUCGGCAAAAUGUAACCGUAACUUCGGGAGAAGGUUAGCCGCGUUCACCAAGAGCGCGGUCGCAGAGAAAUGUUUCAGGCGACUGUUUAACAAAAACACAGGUCUCCGCAAAGUUGUAAAGACAACGUAUGGGGGCUGACGCCUGCCCAAUGCUGGAAGGUUAAGAGGAGCGGUUAGCCGUAAGGCGAAGCUGCGAAUCGAAGCCCCAGUGAAUGGCGGCCGUAACUAUAA